rnacentral:rRNA from 1 species
AGCGAACGCUGGCGGCAGGCUUAACACAUGCCAGUCGAGCGGGCGUAGCAAUACGUCAGCGGCAGACGGGUGAGUAACGCGUGGGAACGUACCUUUUGGUUCGGAACAACACAGGGAAACUUGUGCUAAUACCGGAUAAGCCCUUACGGGGAAAGAUUUAUCGCCGAAAGAUCGGCCCGCGUCUGAUUAGCUAGUUGGUGAGGUAACGGCUCACCAAGGCGACGAUCAGUAGCUGGUCUGAGAGGAUGAUCAGCCACAUUGGGACUGAGACACGGCCCAAACUCCUACGGGAGGCAGCAGUGGGGAAUAUUGGACAAUGGGGGCAACCCUGAUCCAGCCAUGCCGCGUGAGUGAUGAAGGCCCUAGGGUUGUAAAGCUCUUUUGUGCGGGAAGAUAAUGACGGUACCGCAAGAAUAAGCCCCGGCUAACUUCGUG